CAAUGAACUGUGAGCAGGGAGGUGAUUGGCUGCUGUUUCUGUAUAUAUAUUUGUAUUUUUUCUAAAGUUCUGUCUGUGUCUAUUUGUGCAGGAAACCUCUCAGAAAAUGUGUUCAGAAUAUCCAACACAAAGUUUUUAUUUGCUGAUUCUGGACAAGCUGACGCUGACUCAGCUGAUAUCAGAGUUUCCAGGAGGAGGAAAGCUCACGUACGACUCCCACUGUUACAGCUGCUCCCUCUGUAACCUCACAAUAAAAACUACUUCAAAAUUUCCAGAUGUUGCUGGUGAUGUCAUUUUCUCAGGGCUUUCUCCAGAAUGAAUCAUCAUCCACAGACACACAGGACGUAAAAAAGCCCAUAAAAGGAGCAUGGAGUAAGGUGUAAGCAGUAAACUGUCUCAGAGUGUUUCAGCAGGAUGAUGCACCGUGUCCUUGCAGAACAGGAAACUGGCUGCACAUUUGUUCUCAAAGGGAAGUAUUCGGCCACUUAUCAUGAACUGAUAAUGAAUAAACAUGUGGAGCAGAAACCUCACGGCAAAACCUGAGCCCUUAUCUAAGCAACAUAGAGUCAGCCUUGGAUCGUGUUAAAUGUGCAAAACUGCAGUUCCUCUGAUG